GACGAACGCUGGCGGCGUGCUUAACACAUGCAAGUCGAACGAUGAACCACUUCGGUGGGGAUUAGUGGCGAACGGGUGAGUAACACGUGGGCAAUCUGCCCUUCACUCUGGGACAAGCCCUGGAAACGGGGUCUAAUACCGGAUACAACACUCUCGGGCUUCCGAUGAGUGUGGAAAGCUCCGGCGGUGAAGGAUGAGCC
rnacentral:rRNA from 1 species